CAGGCGAUAACGAAUGGCAGCAGUUAUGGGGGACUCCGGCCUCUCCAGAUUGCAGUUCGCCCCCUUCAGCAGUGCCUUGGAUGUUGGCUUCUGGCACGAGUUGACCCAGAAGAAGCUGAAUGAGUACCGGCUAGACGAAGCUCCCAAGGACAUUAAGGGUUAUUACUACAACGGUGACUCUGCGGGGCUGCCAGCUCGCUUAACGUUGGAGUUCAGUGCUUUCGACAUGAGUGCGCCUACCCCAGCCCGCUGCUGCCCAGCGGUCGGCACACUGUAUAAUACCAACACACUCGAGGCUUUCAAGGCUGCAGACAAGAAGCUACUUCUGGAAGAAGCAGCAAACGAGAUCUGGGAAUCCAUCAAAUCGGGGGCUGCCCUGGACAACCCUGUGCUCCUCAACAAGUUCCUCCUCUUGACAUUUGCGGAUCUAAAGAAGUACCAUUUCUACUACUGGUUCUGCUCCCCAGCUCUCUGCCUUCCAGAGAGCAUACCCCUCAUUCAGGGGCCAGUGGCCUUGGAUCAAUGGUUUUUGCCAAAACAGAUUCAAGCCCUCGAGCAUGCGUAUGAUGACCUUUGUCAGACAGAAGGAGUCCCAGCACUGCCUUACUUCCUAAUCAAGUAUGACGAGACCACGGUGCUGGUUUCCUCGCUCAAACACUACAGCGAUUUCUUCCAGGGUCAAAGGACAAAGAUAACUAUUGGCGUGUACGAUCCCUGUAACUUAGCGCAGUACCCCGGAUGGCCUUUGAGGAACCUUUUGGUCCUAGCAGCCCACAGAUGGAGUGGCAGUUUCCAGUCCGUGGAAGUGGUCUGCUUCCGGGACCGCACCCUGCAGGGGGUGAGAGAUGUCACCCACAGCAUCGUCUUCGAAGUGAAGCUUCCAGAGAUGGCGUUCAGCCCAGAUUGUCCCAAGGCAGUCGGAUGGGAAAAGAACCAGAAGGGAGGCAUGGGACCGAGGAUGGUGAACCUCAGCGAGUGUAUGGACCCUAAAAGGUUAGCUGAGUCAUCGGUCGAUCUCAAUCUCAAGCUGAUGUGUUGGAGAUUGGUCCCUACUCUGGACUUAGACAAGGUUGUGUCUGCCAAAUGUCUGCUGCUUGGAGCCGGCACCUUGGGUUGUAAUGUAGCCCGGACAUUGAUGGGUUGGGGCGUCAGACACAUCACGUUCGUAGACAAUGCCAAGAUCUCCUACUCCAACCCUGUGAGGCAGCCUUUGUAUGAAUUUGAAGAUUGCCUGGCGGGUGGGAAGCCCAAGGCCCUGGCAGCAGCGGACCGGCUGCAGAAGAUAUUCCCCGGAGUGAACGCCAGAGGGUUCAACAUGAGCAUCCCCAUGCCUGGGCACCCCGUGAACUUCUCCAGCGUCACCCUGGAGCAGGCCCGCAGGGAUGUGGAACAGCUGGAGCAGCUCAUCAACAGCCACGACGUCGUCUUCCUGUUGAUGGACACCCGGGAGAGCCGGUGGCUGCCUGCCGUCAUCGCCGCCAGCAAAAGAAAGCUGGUCAUCAAUGCUGCCUUGGGAUUUGACACCUUCGUUGUCAUGAGACACGGCCUGAAGAGGCCCAGGCAUCAGGGAGCCGGGGACUUGUGUCCCAGCUACCCCAUGGCGUCUGCCGACCUCCUGGGCUCAUCGCUGUUUGCCAACAUCCCUGGCUACAAACUUGGCUGCUACUUCUGCAACGAUGUGGUGGCCCCAGGGGAUUCAACCAGAGACCGGACCUUGGACCAGCAGUGCACUGUGAGCCGUCCGGGACUAGCCACGAUCGCAGCGGCCCUGGCAGUGGAGUUGAUGGUUUCCGUUUUGCAGCAUCCAGAAGGGGGCUACGCCAUUGCCAGCAGCAGUGACGACCGCAUGAAUGAGCCACCAACGUCCCUCGGCCUCGUGCCUCACCAGAUACGAGGAUUUCUGUCACGGUUUGAUAACGUCCUUCCUGUCAGCCUGGCCUUUGACAAAUGCACGGCUUGUUCUUCCAAAGUUCUUGAUCAGUAUGAACGAGAAGGAUUUAAUUUCCUGGCGAAGGUGUUUAAUUCUUCACAUUCCUUCUUAGAGGACUUGACCGGUCUUACAUUGCUGCAUCAAGAGACCCAGGCUGCUGAGGGCCAGCGUCCCCAAGAUUUUUGGGCAACUGUCAUAUUCGUUGAGCAUACAGCGCCAUCAUUAGCAGGCUGUCUCUUCGGGUCUUGAUGAGUUACUCACCCAGGAACAGAAGAUAAAAUGGAGUCUAUCAUGAUUGAUCUGGGACAUGAGUGACGACGAGACCAUCUGACACGCGCCUUGCGCUCCGAGGCCGCCGCCCCAGGACUGCGACACGGCCCUGCGUCCCCACCGCUAGAGGCCUGGCCUGCCUCCAUGCCGGGAGCCGCUGGCGUCCUCCGUUCUGACAGCUCCUCAUCCCACCGGAAAAACAGGCCACAGAGAAUGGUAUAUUACAGAUUUACAAACAUGGAGAGAAUGGUCUGAACGCACUGCGGAUGGCCUGGCUCUGUGGAGAACCUCUCUGUGCCCUGAGGCCGGGGAGUGUCCCCCUGCCCGGGGCCCCUCCCAGCAGGGACCCGGCCCUUGGCGCUCCGGUUCCCCCUCCCCAGCGAUGUCCUCGCUGGCAGGCGCCCGCCGAGCCUGUUCUGCACAGAGCCGCAGGCAGUGGGUCGUUUUCCUGGGCAACGCUCAGUAGCCUGUAGCAAUAACAAACUAGUGGCUAUUAAGGCAGAUGCAGUGUUCUCAUAGAAUAACUGUGUUCCUGCACUUUUACAGACAAAUCUAAGACGAAAAAAAAAAAAAAGAUCAACUUUUUUUUCCAAACAAAAAAAAAAAUAUGAAUGAUUACAAUAGGAAAAGGGAAAAAUUAAAUAGCUACAUAUCAUUAACAAAUUAAUUGUUCUUCAAAAAAUACCUACAAAUUUCUCUGUACAUUCUUUACGCACAGCGUAAUGAUGGUCUUAAAGUUACCUAUAUAAAAAAAGUGUUCUUGAUGAUUUUUUUUUUUUCCUACAGAAAAUAUAGGGGCCUGGAUGCAAAAGCCUGGAAGCCCAGUGAAGUGGGAGGGAAAUGCGUGCGGGGUUGGGGGGGGGGGGGGGGGCGGGCGCGACGCCUUCCUCCUGCC